rnacentral:rRNA from 1 species
CCUACGGGAGGCAGCAGUGGGGGAUAGUGCACAAUGGGGGGAACCCUGAUGCAGCGACGCCGCGUGGGUGAAGAAGGGCCGCGGCGCGGAAAGCCCUGUCAGCAGGGAAGAAAAUGACGGUACCUGAAGAAGAAGCCCCGGCGAACUACGGGCCAGCAGCCGCGGUAAGACGAAGGGGGCAAGCGUAAUCCGGAUUUACUGGGUGUAAAGGGGGCGCAGACGGCGAUGCAAGCCAGGAGUGAAAGCCCGGGGCCCCACCCCGGGACUGCUCUUGGAACUGCGUGGCUGGAGUGCAGGAGGGGCAGGCGGAAUUCCUGGUGUAGCGGUGAAAUGCGUAGAUAUCAGGAGGAACACCGGUGGCGAAGGCGGCCUGCUGGACUGCAACUGACGUUGAGGCCCG